GGGCUCGUGGUCUAGUGGUUAUGACACAUCCUUGACAUGGAUGAGGUCGAGAGUUCAAAUCUCUCCGGGCCCA
rnacentral:tRNA from 1 species